rnacentral:rRNA from 1 species
UGGGUAACCUGCCUCAAUGAGGGGAAUAGCCUCCCGAAAGGGAGAUUAAUACCGCAUAAUAUGUUUAGAUCGCAUGAUCUUGACAUCAAAGGAAUUUCUUCGGAGAUUCCGCUUUGAGAUGGACCCGCGGCGCAUUAGCUAGUUGGUGAGGUAACGGCCCACCAAGGCAACGAUGCGUAGCCGACCUGAGAGGGUNAUCGGCCACAUUGGAACUGAGACACGGUCAGA